AAAAGGAAAGUGAAAGAAGUUAGUGUCAUUUCUUAAAACUGGACAGAAGAAAAGUGUGUGACUUUCAGGAGUUACAGCACCCUUGGAAGAGGAAAACAAGAGUUUCAUCACACAGCAAGGAAGCUGAGACUCACCUAUCUCCAGUAGAGUGGCUCACUGGCACACCAGGUAACCAAUGCUGCUUUCUGCUUGUCCUCUAUUGUGUCUGCAAAGCAUCCUUCAGAAUAAUGGUCCAGGCAAGCAGUGCCUUGCUGAGAAGUAGAAGAGGAUCAAACGGAUCAGGUCAAGCCAUUUGGAAGCAAGUUCCGGGAUUUUGGAGUAGGACAAAUAGUAUCACCCACUGAGCUGACCAGAGUGGGAAAUGCUAAGGAUCAACUAGUUAAACGAGUUUGAACAAGUGAAUUGGAAGGGCUACUGAGGAAACAACCCAGUUGGUGAAAUGUUUGCUACAUUAGCGUGAGGAUCUGAGUUCAAAUCUCCAGCAACCAUGUGAAAAGCAGGGUAUUGUGUGCUGCAGAGGGGACAGACGGCUGUGUAGAUGCCAGGAUGUCCUCCUAUGACACUCCAGCCCCGCUUGUAUCACAGGCACCUACAAACACCUGAGUUUUUGACAAUCCAAAUUUCUACGAUGGAACAAAGAGAACAUCUUCAACAAAUGGUGCUGGCAUAACUGUUGCUGGCAU